GGGUUUUGGACGCCAGCGGAACGGAAUGUGGAGAGGUGGGUGGGGCCUCGUGGAGAUUCCGGAGUUCGGGAGAAUGGACGGUCUUGAUUGACUAAGGACGGCCUCGAGAUUCGUGCUCGCGGAACUUGCCGACGCGGCACGGCGACAGGUGGCCUCUCGCUCUCCGUCCGGACUCCCGGACUCUUCCUCCGCCGCCGCCGCCAUGGCGAUGGGCGCGGCGGUCCGGCGGAUGCACGCCGCAGCGGCGGCGGCGGCGGCGGCGCAGCCCCCGCGCCUGACGAAGCUUGCGCUGCACCCGCCCAGAUCGGUGAGUUCCUCCUCCUCCGCUCUCGGCGGCUAAUUUCUUCCCGCUUAGAUCCCGUGCGCUUUGCCUGUUCCUUGCUUCCUUCCUACUGUUGGUUGGUGGUACUUCGUUUGGUGUCGCGAAGCCAAGUGCACUUUCGGUUCCAAACUCGCUACAUCGCCGCAUUGGACCACCUGCUGUAUUGCUGCUGUGCCGUCGACUUCACUUCAUCCAUUCAUUUACUGUUGUAACUUACCUUGAUCCUUCUGUUUGAGUAAUGGGAUUGCGAAGUGACUAGCUGGAACUCGAAUUGGUUCUGAGAGUAUUGCUCUUUUCGGCAACGGGGAAUGUAGCGAAUUCAUCAUACAUUCAUACUGUUCAUCCGUGGGUGACCAGACAGCGAAGUAUGAAAAGAAUCGCUAGUGAGCACUACAAUUGGUCCCCGCUCUUCAUUUUUCCAAUUGGGUGCUGGAAAUCUUGUGAAAUCUUGCGUGCGAUCCAGGUGGAGCUCCAAAUCAGUGGCAGCGAAUAGUCAGUCAUCUUUAUCCCAAAUAUCUCGGAUCAUGUCCUUGUCAAAGUUCCUGCCAUGGACAUAAUUUGAAGAUAUUUGUUGGUGAUUGUUUGGUCGUGUACACAUAAUGGCAUCAGUCACAAUUGGAUUGAGCUUACAAGCCACAAUUAAUAAUGAAAAUCUCACAUUGACUGAAGUGCUAUAGCCAUCCCAUGAUAAGUGCUCUAGUUUAUGUGCAAUUUUAUUGUAGAAAUUACUGACAUAAUUUUCUUUUCAUUUUUUCUCAUUAAUAUGAUCUUGCUGAACAGGUGUUCCUCCAUAUUGCUGCAUGAUGCCUCAUGCCUUGAUCAGGGUAUUGGUGACUAUUGAGCUAUAUUUACUGUUCUUCACAGGUGGAGGUUGAAUUCACUGAUGGUAGCUCAUUCCAUCUGUCAGCUGAAUUUCUAAGAGUACAUAGUCCAGCAGCUGACAGCAAAAUAAUAUCAGUAUCUGGUGAGAAGGUUAUAUUUGGGCGACGGUAUGUUGGAAUAAUGUCAGCUGAAUCAGUAGGAAACUAUGGAAUUCGGAUACUAUUUGAUGAUUUGCACAAGACGGGGAUCUUCACAUGGGAUUACUUGCAUCAUCUGGGUUCUAAAAAGUUCAGUCUGACGCGAAAUUAUAUCAGAACUUUGAGAAAGCAUGGUCUUAGCCGGGAUCCUCAGAGAAGGAAAUGAUGAACACAAACCUUCACUCAGAUUCAGAUUGUGACACGAGGAAAACUUAUGUACGCUUUCCGUACCAAGUCUCAGUAACAGUAAUGACUGCUGCUGCCAAUGCUGGAGAGCACUAGAACGAGAAAUACAGAAUGUAUGAAACCAGAUAAUCAACUGCUGAAUAUAGUAACAGUUUUAGGAAUGGCGACUGAAUACUGAUGAUACUCUAGGGUUCAUUCUUUGAGGUUUAAGAAUGAGGGCUGCUGUUUUGGAGGCUGAUGUUUCAGCCCAUCCAAAAAGAGCUGCGUGUAGUGCGUGAGAUCUACGCGUGUAUCUGACGGAGAAAAAGAAACAUACGACGUUUCAAUUGGCUGGAAUGUUUUUGACUCCA